GUUUUGCCUAGACGGACGAUAAGGAGUGCAGUCCAGCAUGACAUCCAUAUCCAACAAAAGGGGAAGUAAAAGGUUAGAGAGUUGUACGGAUAUGUGAUCACUGAUAAAGGUCAAUGCGUCUUCCUCACACAAACCGACUUUUCCCUUUACUGCCAACACUCUUCUUGUUCUUCUAGUGUUGACUGAUCACACACCCCAUCAGCUUCUGUUCCACUUUCACUGCCCGCCUUCAUGAUAUCAAGGAGGAAGAGAGGACUGGUGGAGAUUUCAACCCUUCUUGAUGCUGGCAACCUCGACUCAGGAAGGCCAUGAUGCAUAUCACCUCCCUCUACAACAUAAGUGUAGUUCAGCAUCUGGUGUUCUGAUUCCGGAAACUAUGCAUGUUUCUCCUUCAAGGUUUUGAUCUCACUAUUUCUUUUUCAUGACCAUAAAAAAAGAAAACAAACCUAGCUUUCUGUAAUAAUGGUUUAAUCUGAGGGUUAAAGUUUGUUAUUUCAUGGAGAAUAUUGUAGCAUUGUUGUUUACUUCAUAGGAAAUCUGUAGUUCUCUGGAGAUAUAUUCAUGCCUGCAUAUGAUUUUCUCAUUGCUCUCCAGAAAAGGAAAAAAAAUCCAUUUAUUUUUCUGUUCUGGAAAAUUGCAUAAUCUAAAAGAAAGAAAGAAGAUAGAAAACAUUGCAGCUAGGCAGGUGACUCUUUCCGGCCAUGAGGAAGGGAGGGCUUUUUAAGAAGAUAUAGUUGUCAAUCUUUUCUGCUGCUCGCAAGCUCUUCGAAUACGCUAGCUCAAGUUGUACAGCAGGAAAGUUGAAAGGUACGUACUAUCUUCAUACAAGGACUGACAAAUUACAACUCCCAUCUGUAGAGCUGCAGGUAAGAUCCUCUUUCCAAGUUUCUCAAAUAAAGAAAUAUAAUAGUAACAUGACUCUUCUUCAUAGCUAGAGGAGUUACUGAAUUAGCCAUGCGAAGCAUUUUUGGAAUGUAGUUUGUCAAAAUGUAGGAUUGCAUGAAAUUAUGAAUUGAUCAAUAGUAAGACGCUUAUAACAUUUCAUUAGUAGCAAUUACUGAAGCAAAGUACAUGUUACCUACUAUUCACGCCUGACUGUAUCUAUACAAUAUUCGAAUACAAUACCAUAAUCCUUUGCAUCCAGGGAUGCAGAAGUAAAUGAAUAUUUGCUUCAAGUGCCAAUAUUAUAAACAAAGUUAUUUUAAUUAAUAGAUUUUUCUUUGACAUUUCUUAACCACCAAGUUCAAAAUUCAUGAAUGCAAAUUUAUCUAUAGCCUGACAACGACACCUACGACUAUGUUGUGAUUCACAAUGGCAGACAAGACUUGUGAGCUGAGGAAGUUGAAUGGGGAAGAGCUGCUAGGAUUAAAAAUUCGGGAAUUACAAAAGCUAGAGAAACUAAUAAGGAAAGGUUUGUUCUGUACCUUUCUAUUCUCAUUAUUCAUUAUUCAUUAUGUAUUUGUAAAUUUAAUAUUGUUGGAGUAUAAGUGUGAUGAAGUUCCAUAUUGAAUAUGGAACCAACAAAUUGAACAAUAUAUUAUUGACAAAGACUAUUGUAUACCUAAAGACAAAAUUUGAUAUGAGAUCGAAUGAACACAUUAACAUAUAUAUUAGGGCUUGUAUAUCAAAAGACAAAGUUUAGGUAUAGACUUACGCAUUUUAGAUAUUAUUUUUUGAAUCGUACAAUAAUGGUCAGCAUUCUAAGGUACUACACCUAGCAUUGCCCUAUACCGAAUCUUUGAGGGUUUUGAUUAGAUGUGAUGUUUAGUCUGUUUGUGUGCUUUGUUUUUGGCCAGUUGAAGGAGAUCUCCUUGGUCAAUGUUUAUUGGAAUGAUGUUCACACUUUGUGAAAAUCAUUGAAUAUUGCUCUUAAUAGGUGGCAUACAUUUGUAUUUCAGAAUGAAAGAAUUGUGUAAAGGAUAUCGCAACACUCAAGAAAAAGGUCUCUUUGGUUCAUUUUCUAUUUUCAUUUUUAAUUACAAAACCACGUCUUGUUUUUAAUUUGUUUUCUGUUUUUAAA